GUCCAUGGCCACACCACCUUGAACGCACCCGAUCUCAUCUGAUCUCGGAAGCUAAGCAGGGUCGGGCCUGGUUAGCACUUGGAUGGGAGACCACCUGCGAAAAUCGGGUGCUAUAGGCA